rnacentral:rRNA from 1 species
CGAGCCUGAUGCAGCCAUGCCGCGUGUGUGAAGAAGGCCUUCGGGUUGUAAAGCACUUUCAGUCAGGAGGAAAGGGUGUGAGUUAAUACCUCAYAUCUGUGACGUUACUGACAGAAGAAGCACCGGCUAACUCCGUGCCAGCAGCCGCGGUAAUACGGAGGGUGCGAGCGUUAAUCGGAAUUACUGGGCGUAAAGCGUACGCAGGCGGUUUGUUAAGCGAGAUGUGAAAGCCCCGGGCUCAACCUGGGAACUGCAUUUCGAACUGGCAAACUAGAGUGUGAUAGAGGGUGGUAGAAUUUCAGGUGUAGCGGUGAAAUGCGUAGAGAUCUGAAGGAAUACCGAUGGCGAAGGCAGCCACCUGGGUCAACACUGACGCUCAUGUACGAAAGCGUGGGGAGCAAACGGGAUUAGAUACCCCGGUAGUCCACGCCGUAAACGAUGUCUACUAGAAGCUCGGAACCUCGGUUCUGUUUUUCAAAGCUAACGCAUUAAGUAGACCGCCUGGGGAGUACGGCCGCAAGGUUAAAACUCA